rnacentral:rRNA from 1 species
UACGUAGGGUGCAAGCGUUGUCCGGAAUUAUUGGGCGUAAAGGGCUCGUAGGCGGUUUGUCGCGUCGGGAGUGAAAACUCAGGGCUUAACCCUGAGCCUGCUUCCGAUACGGGCAGACUAGAGGUAUGCAGGGGAGAAUGGAAUUCCUGGUGUAGCGGUGAAAUGCGCAGAUAUCAGGAGGAACACCGGUGGCGAAGGCGGUUCUCUGGGCAUUACCUGACGCUGAGGAGCGAAAGUGUGGGGAGCGAACGGG